rnacentral:rRNA from 1 species
AACGAACGCUGGCGGCAUGCCUAACACAUGCAAGUCGAACGAGAACUUCGGGUCUAGUGUCGCACGGGUGCGUAACGCGUGGGAACCUGCACUUAGGUUCGGAAUAACUCCCCGAAUGGGGUGCUAAUACCGGAUCAUGUCUUCGGACCAAAGAUUUAUCGCCUUUGGAUGGGCCCGCGUUGAUUAGCUAGUUGGUAGGGUAAAAGCCUACCAAGGCGACGAUCCAUAGCUGGUCUGAGAGGAUGAUCAGCCACACUGGGACUGAGACACGGCCCAGACUCCUACGGGAGGCAGCAGUGGGGAAUAUUGGACAAUGGGCGAAAGCCUGAUCCAGCAAGGCCGCGUGAGUGAUGAAGGCCUUAGGGUUGUAAAGCUCUUUUACCCGGGAUGAUAAUGACAGUACCGGGAGAAUAAGCUCCGGCUAACUCCGUG